GGAGCUAGCCGUCUAAGGUGGGAUAGAUAAUUGGGGUGAAGUCGUAACAAGGUAGCCGUAUCGGAAGGUGCGGCUGGAUCACCUCCUUU
rnacentral:ncRNA from 1 species